rnacentral:rRNA from 1 species
GAUGAACGCUGGCGGCGUGCCUAAUACAUGCAAGUCGAGCGAACGGACGAGAAGCUUGCUUCUCUGAUGUUAGCGGCGGACGGGUGAGUAACACGUGGAUAACCUACCUAUAAGACUGGGAUAACUUCGGGAAACCGGAGCUAAUACCGGAUGAUAUUUUGAACCGCAUGGUUCAAAAGUGAAAGACGGUCUUGCUGUCACUUAUAGAUGGAUCCGCGCUGCAUUAGCUAGUUGGUAAGGUAACGGCUUACCAAGGCAACGAUGCAUAGCCGACCUGAGAGGGUGAGCAGUCAGACUGGAACUGAGACACGGUGCAGACGCCGACGGGAGGCAGCAGUGGGGAAUAUUAGACAAUGGGCGAAAGAUUGAACAAGGCAUGCCGAGUGUGUGAAGAAGGUCUUAGGAUUGUAAAGCACUUGAAGUUGGGAGGAAGGGCAGUAAGUUAAUACAUUGCUGUGUAGACGUUACCAAAAGAAUAAGAACCGGCUAACUUCGUG